UUCCCGUACUUGGUGUUACUGCGAAGGGGGGACGGAGAAGGCUAUGUUGGCCGGGCGACGGUUGUCCCGGUUUAAGCGUGUAGGCUGGUUUUCCAGGCAAAUCCGGAAAAUCAAGGCUGAGGCGUGAUGACGAGGCACUACGGUGCUGAAGCAACAAAUGCCCUGCUUCCAGGAAAAGCCUCUAAGCAUCAGGUAACAUCAAAUCGUACCCCAAACCGACACAGGUGGUCAGGUAGAGAAUACCAAGGCGCUUGAGAGAACUCGGGUGAAGGAACUAGGCAAAAUGGUGCCGUAACUUCGGGAGAAG
rnacentral:rRNA from 1 species